UUGUAUUUGUAUCCUUAG
rnacentral:snRNA from 1 species